UGUGAUUCUCUUACGUUUACAUCUUCUGCUAUUCCAUCCUUAAAUCCCCUUCGGUUACUCUAACAUCUAAUGUCAUGCAGUCCUUUCCAAUCCAUCUACUUUAUUCUUCACCUUAACCUAAAUCACCAUGACCAAAAAAUUGCAAAAGGCAAUGGCUAACAAAAUGAAGAAACGGGAAAUUAAGCAUGAAAUACAACUAGGGGGUGGACUAGAGUUCCUUGUGCUUGAUGAAUAGGGUACUGUCAUACAGGGUUUCAUAUCGCCUAAUCGUGUUGUCCAUUACCCAAGUAACCUCAACCGUGGAGCCACCUCCAAUAUAUUCUAUCGUAUGAGAGUGAGUUUAUCAUCGUCAAUCAGGUCCGAUAAAGUUUCAGUUUUUUUCAAACUUAGUUAUCUUUAUUAGUGCUAAUCCAAAUGGAAGAGAAUUCUCUUUGUGGCCAUUGUAUACAGUGCUUGCAUUUCGUAUCUUGCUAUUCCUACUCUUCUGGUAACGUUUCUCCUGCAAUUCAAUUUCUCAAAAGAUGUUUAUUUUUAUUUUUUAAAUGGAGUUUCUUUCUCUGUUGGGAAUGUUGAGUAGAAUAUAAUGAUAGAGAUCAAUGAGUCUGUACCCUCUGUUAAUAGAACCUUUCUUACAUUUCAACAUAAAUCCUUUUGGGACUAAA